rnacentral:lncRNA from 1 species
GACAAUAGAAUCCCAGAACCCUGAAGCCACUUGGCCAAGGUCACAGAGGUGGAAAAAGGAGGAGCUGGACGCCAGUGUAGAACAUCAAAUAGCAAAUGAAUAGCAUCAUAAGAAGUCAAGAGAAAGACCAUGGAAGAAAGAAGAAACUUUAACAGCGCUUUUUUCAUGAUCUUUGAACAAGGAGCUCUAAAUUAUCAUUUUGCACUGGCUCUGUCCCAGCUCAUGUUUGUUGAGUGAAUAAAUAAAUAAAUAAAUGCAUACAUACAUAUUUAUUAGUACAUGGAACACACUGAUUAUCUUCCAUUUCCUAACAACACUGUAUGUAAUCAGGAUUGCAGGCAUGUUAUGAAAUACUAGAAUAGCUGAAUAUUAAAAUUAUUCUGGAAUCAUGUAUGCUUAUUGUUGGGGUUAUUUGUGACGUCUCCAAAGUCAUCACAGUUUUCUCAGCAUCAAUGUCCUCAUCUCACCCCAGUCCUAGUUCUAGUCUUAGUGGAAUAGAUUGUAUCAGACUAAUCCUCUGACAGACAACAACGAUCAACUGUGGAUGAAAUUUUAAAACAACUAUUUAAAAAUGCCAGAGAGCAAACAAAAGCAGACAAGUUAGAGGGACUUCAACCCACGAAAUCAAUAAACGUACUGACUGAGACUCAUGCACACACACAUGACAGAGGGACAGAAGCUCUAUGAGAGGAGGACCCUUAUCCAUUUUGUUGAUGGCACAUAGUAUAUGUUCAAUAAAUUUUUGUUGUCAAAUGAAUGUUUUGUUUGGCCAACCUCACUUAUUGUUUUUUCAGUUUUACUGAGGGAUGAUUUAUGUAAAAUAAAAUUCACACUUUUUAAUUGUACCAUUUUAUGAGUUUCACAAAUGUAUACAGUUGUAUAUCUGCCACUAUGAUCAAGAUGUAGAGUAUUUCCAUCGCCAUAGAAAGUUCCUUUAUGCCCCUUUGCUGUUUAUCCCUUCCCCAGCCCCAGCACCUGGCAAUCGCUGACCUGAUUUCUAUAGCUUUGCCUUUUCCAGAAAGUUGAAUAAAU